rnacentral:rRNA from 1 species
GACGAACGCUGGCGGCGUGCUUAACACAUGCAAGUCGAACGGAAAGGCCCUGCUUUUGUGGGGUGCUCGAGUGGCGAACGGGUGAGUAACACGUGAGUAACCUGCCCUUGACUUUGGGAUAACUUCAGGAAACUGGGGCUAAUACCGGAUAGGAGCUCCUGCUGCAUGGUGGGGGUUGGAAAGUUUCGGCGGUUGGGGAUGGACUCGCGGCUUAUCAGCUUGUUGGUGGGGUAGUGGCUUACCAAGGCUUUGACGGGUAGCCGGCCUGAGAGGGUGACCGGCCACAUUGGGACUGAGAUACGGACCAGACGCCUACGGGAGGCAGCAGUGGGGAAUAUGGCACAAUGGGCGGAAGCCUGAUGCAGAAACGCCGCGUGCGGGAUGACGGCCUUCGGGUUGUAAACCGCUUUCGCCUGUGACGAAGCGUGAGUGACGGUAAUGAGUAAAGAAGCACCGGCUAACUACGUG